UCGAACGUAGUUGUCGAUGAGGUGACAGUGAGAGGGCGAUGUCACAGGAAAAUGUCCCUGAGGAAAAAUGAGGAGGCUCAUCACCUUCAGUGAUCAGGUUACACUCGAUUCUCAAGAGUUUCCCGUGGUACUGAAGUGCAUGUCAUGUUCCUUCUCGGCUGGGAAAGCACUACACAAUCAGAUAGUGGCAUUUCUGUUUCAAACUUCUCACUACAGUACCGUGGGCUUCAGGACGGUGCCAUUGCCUCUGUCAUGCACCAGCUCACUGCAGACCUGGGACACAGGGAAUUGCACCAGAGGCUAUAAAGGACAUGGCGGUGUGUAACCCAGUGGCAAAGACAAGGAAUAGUGUCAGGACUGGUGUGAAGAGCACACUGUACAGAGCAUGUGGUGGGCCUCUUCCAGUUCCUCACGUCAUGGCCAGCGGGGAGAAACUGAAAGACGAACUUCCACAACUGGGGAUAUGCAAAUUGCUGCACGGACAUGAGUGCCUUGAUUUGGUGGACUCUACAUUUGGCCCUGUGCCUUUUGGGUCUGUGCUCGCUUACCAGUGCCUUCCUGAAAUACGUAGAGACAUAUGUAGAGACAUUAUUGAACACCCUGGUGACAUUAUUGAACACCCUGAGUUUCCUCAGUUGCCUGUUGACAGAUACAGAUUUAAAUUUCCUAUAGAUUUUGAGGCCAGCUAUAAGCAACAGUGCCACUUGGAGAGCCUAAAGGUGUCAUGAAAGAUCUCCGCUGCUAUUGAGGCAGAAACCCGACUGCAGUCAAAAUGCCAGCUGUGGACCCAGCUGUUCAAUCUGAAACAGUCAAUAUAUUCUACAUAGAAACAAGUCCAUAUUUAAGAAAAGGCGGCUGGAUAAAGGUAUUAUAUUUAUGAAGGAUGUGUUGAAGGGUGACUUGUCUCGGCAUAAGUACCAAGCGCAUGAAGAUCGGCCGCACCACACGCACCGAGGACAAGAUCCUGUCCGUUGAGAUCAAGCGCGGCUGGAAGGAGGGCACCAAGAUCACGUUCCCGCGGGAGGGCAACGAGGGGGGGGGGUUAAUAAAGGUUUACAGAUGUUGAGCGUCAAGUUAAUAGAUGUUUGUUAUGUCCAGAUGUUGAGUGUAAUGUUAAAUGUUUACAGAUGUUCAGGGUCAUUGAUAAUAGAUGAUUACAGAUGUUGAAAAUCAUGUUAAGAGAUGUUCAGUGUUAUGUUAAUAGAUGUUUACAGAUGUUGAGGAUCAGGUUAGUGGAUGUUUACAGAUGUUGAGGGCGGAUGAUGUUAAAAGAUGUUUAUAGAUGGCGUUUAUAAAUUUCAGGGUCUAAUAGCAGAUGUGUACAGAUGUUCAGGGUCCUGUUAAUGCGUGUUUAUCUGUUUAUGGAUGUUUAGGGUCAUAUUAACAGAUGUUUUCAGAUGUGGAGGAUUGUAUUAACACAUAUUUACAUAUCUGAUUACAGAUGUUGAGAGUUUAGGAAUGUUUACAGAUGACUUUUUUUUUUUAACAUGACGUUGAGGGUCACGGUGUUAAAUUUUUACAGAUGUCCAGUGUCAUGUUAACAGCUGUUGAGAGUCAUAUUUCUGCUUUCAGAUGUUGAGGGUUGUAUUAACAGAUGUUUACCCAUGUUGAAGUUUAUGAUUGCGUUUUUCAGCUGUUUACUGAUCGGUUCAGAUAUUGAGGAUUAUGUUAGCAGAUGUUUAUGUAUGUGUGCAGAUGUAAAUUGAUGUUUUGAGGUACAGUUAAAGUUGUUGAGUUGUUGAUUAUGUGCAUUUAGAAAUGUUAACAGAUGUUUACAGAAGCUGAGGAUAGUGACAGAUCAUCCUAUUAUGUUGAGAGUCGUUUAAACAGAUAUUUACAGAUGUUGACAGUUUUGGUGAAAAGGCCAAUUCUACACAGUAGGAGUCACCUCAUUAUCCUGCACCUCAGCACACAAUAAAUAUCAUCCUUCAUCGAUCUACAGUAUUAAAUAUAAUCACCGAUAUAUAGUAAGUAAGGAAUAAAACACUUGGGGAUGUGUUCUGACAGGAAAAUAAUCAACAACGGGGUGGUGUGAUGCGGCCUGACACAAAGCAGAGUUACUGUUAUGACUCUGAUGAUGAUUAUUUUCAUAUAACAGCACAUAAGAUAGAAGUUUAUUCAUCCCGAGGGAAAUUCUUGUGCUAGAGGUUGCUCAAACAGAUAUAUCACAACAAUGUAGGAAUAAAAGACAAUAUAGUAAUAAAUGAAGUAGUAAAAAUAACCA